GCGGGGGUGGCAGAGUCUGGUCAAAUGCGCUAGCUUGAGGGGCUAGUCCCUUAGUGGGUGCGCGUGUUCAAAUCACGUCCCUCGCA
rnacentral:tRNA from 1 species